GGCUGCUGCCCGUCCGGAAGCUUUCCCUUCCAGGACAUGAGUAAAGUUUUGUGCUGCAGCAUUCUUGAGAGCCUGUAGAAAACUGCACUCCUGCUGUUCUCACACUUCACUAAGGCCACUUUUUUAUAGGCUGGAUAAGAUUAGACCGAGAGAAAGAGCUGCUGAAGUCACACGUCCCAUCAUGUAAUCAGGGUAGUCUUUGUGCAACGUGAUGCUGGGGAGUAGUCCAGGAAUCACUUAAGAAAAAAAACAACAAACAUCCCUCAACAGAAAGUGACAUCAGCAGACUGUAAUUUAUCCGGCUGACUCUAUUGAGGCAGAAAACACCUGCUCUGCUCCCAAGUGAUGCAGGU